CACACACACACACACACACACACUCUCUCUCUCUCUCUCUCUCUCUCUCUCUCUCUCUCUCUCUCUCUCACACACACUGUGCAGCAUUCAGUUUGUCCUGUAAUUACAGGAGCACUGUUGGAGAACACCAGUCCAGUCACUGCAGCUGUUCACUGGACUGACAGAGAAAGACACACACAGAGACCUGUACACCUGGAAGGAAUUCCAGAGAAAAAAAUAAUGAUGUCAACCAUGGAAAUAUGCACCUCACAACAAACAGAUUCUCAGCGGCCACUCCCUCAAGCUCAGAGAAACAGGGUCCCUGUCUUUCUGUUGGGGUCCCCAAGGCGACGUGUGCAUUUCAUUUCCAGAGACCUGCCUCUAUACCUCCCGAGCAAGACUGAACCACAAGACUGCUCCCUGCUUACCCUGCCCCCCAUCCACACCUACCUGGUGAUCAACGGCACCAGCAAGCGACUGACUCCUGACAAGCCCCACCCACGCUGGGAGGAGCCACGGAGGACCACAGCAGCCAGCUGGCCAUCUGGACCUGACACACCUCAGGCAGCCAAUCACAGGCAUUCUCCUUCUGCACCGUCCAAUGGGAAAGAAGCUUGUCAGGCCCAUGAGGCAAUCUCGCCUUGGUGGACCGCUUACCAGGGUGGGAGGAAGCUGGUCAAAGCAUUGCUAAAGUGCAUUUCUGGACAGGGAGGGUAACAAGCAUCUGUGAUGAUUUAGGAGUAUUUUAGCUUUGAUUGGUUCAAUUGCUUGAAAUGUCAUUAAUUCCUUAUUUUUUUUUUACAUUUGCCCUUACUGUUUUUUGUUGUUUGCAAUCAUUCUAUUAUCAUUUUCACUAUAAAGCUCAAAGCAGCUCAAAGACAGGUAUAGACAGGACCUCUCAGAGGGAUUGAUAACACCAUAACAUAGUCAUGCAAAAGAAAGACAAAUGACAUUUUAAGAUACUUUUCCUCUAUUGUUUUUGUUUUCAUGUGUUCAGUAGGGCUCUGUAUUGUGGAUAGAUUUAAAUUAUGCACAGUUGACAAUGUGUCUUAUAUGAUUAAAUCAUUAUGAAUAUUAUUACUUAAUUCACCACA